UACGGAGGGAGCUAGCGUUGUUCGGAAUUACUGGGCGUAAAGCGCGCGUAGGCGGCUGUUCAAGUCAGAGGUGAAAGCCCGGGGCUCAACCCCGGAACUGCCUUUGAAACUAGAUAGCUAGAAUCAUGGAGAGGUCAGUGGAAUUCCGAGUGUAGAGGUGAAAUUCGUAGAUAUUCGGAAGAACACCAGUGGCGAAGGCGACUGACUGGACAUGUAUUGACGCUGAGGUGCGAAAGCGUGGGGAGCAAACAGG
rnacentral:rRNA from 1 species